ACUUGGGUUCAUCUUCAUGAGGUGUAAUGGCGCCGGGAUGCGCUCUCCUCUUCUCAUUUGCCAAUUUAUUGCAGAUCCCUCCUCAAAAAAGUUUUGGGACUAACUCAGCCCCAUGGAGAUCAAGGUGAAUUAGAAAAACAACAAAACAAAACAAGAUUCAUUUUAACAUCUCAUUUUUCUAUCUCCAACUUUCCCUCCCCUCCUCCCACCCCAGGAAGAAAAGACUACGUUUGUUUCUGGUGAUACAUUCAUUGUAGGUGGGUGGGUGACUUCUAGAAGAGGAAAAUCAAGAAGAUUUGGAGAAGGAGUCUUGGAAGCUCUGGUGAAGUUUUCCAAAACUGGGAAGGACAGAGUCUGCUCAGCCUGUGUUAGUGGAGAAGAGGGAAGGAAACUGGCUGGAGGCCGCUGGACCCACAGAGGACAAUAGACAAUCUCCUGCUAAAUGACAAACCAGUAUCUUGAGUAAAAUAAUGACUUGGACUGUAAGAAAUUAAUUAGAAAACAUCUGUGCAAUGUAGUGGAAGAAAAAGAAAAUGAGACCCAGAAGACCCAAAUCACAAAUCAAAAGGACCUCACAGAAGAUUCUACAAUUGAGAUUAUUUAUCCUGGGAUGCCCACUGGAUCCAAAGAGAGAAACUCUAUAGAAUUAUGAUCUAGGUUUGACUGACUCCUGGCAAGAAGCCCUACCCGCCAGCCAAUUUGGAUGAGGAACACAGAAUCACUUGUGGAAUUAAGAGAUAAGGACAGCAAGUAGACCAAACUAUAAGCUGAGGUUCAAGGUGGCAUAGGCUGGGUGCCACAGUGCUGUGUCUCAGGUGGGCUAGAAGUGCGAAACGGACAGUACCAGAAGGAAAACUUGAGGGUCACAGGGGUCAUCCAUCUUUCCUUCUAUGUGACUGGUUUGCUCUUGCAUAUCAUGUUUUCCGCUCUUAUGCUCCAGAUCCAUCAUGAGAAGAACAUGCCCUGGAUUCCUGCUAUCCCUUUAGCCAUGGCUCCAAAAUUAACACACACAAGGAAGACCUGAGGUCAAUCCACAGCCUGGAUUCAAGUCACCUAAUACAUAGGAGAAUCAGAGCUACCCAGCCACACUCAAUCUACGUUAACUGAACCUCAGCUGACCUGCAGAUUUAUGAGUAUGAGAAUAAAGGCUUGUUAAUG
rnacentral:lncRNA from 1 species